GACGAACGCUGGCGGCGUGCUUAACACAUGCAAGUCGAACGAGAGCGUAGAGAAAGCUUGCUUUUUCUACAAUCUAGUGGCAAACGGGUGAGUAACGCGUAAACAACCUGCCCUACGGAUGGGUACAACAGCUGGAAACGGCUGCUAAUACCGAAUACGUUCCGAAAGUCGCAUGACUAUCGGAAGAAAGGAUGGCCUCUAUUUAUAAGCUAUCGCCGGAGGAGGGGUUUGCGUCUGAUUAGCUAGUUGGAGGGGUAACGGCCCACCAAGGCGACGAUCAGGAGUCGGACUGAGAGGAUGAGCGGCCACAUUGGAACGGAGACACGGCCCAGACUCCUACGGGAGGCGGCAGUGGGGAAUCUUCCGCAAUAGGCGAAAGACUGACGGAGCAACGCCGCGGGAGUGAAGACGGCCUUCGGGUUGUAAAGCUCUGUUAUACGGGACGAAUAAUCUUGUGGUUAAUACCCAUGAGAAGUGACGGUACCGUAAGAGAAAGCCACGGCUAACAACGUG
rnacentral:rRNA from 1 species